CUCGACCCUCUCCUUCUCCUUCACCUCGUCCCCCGCCGCCGCCACCACUGCCGUGGCCGACACAUUCUGCCUCCUCCUCCCCGCCGCCGCCGCCGCUUCGGAAGAGGGCGCAGGCCAGAACCCCACCUCGCUCUCUGUCUAGGUAGUCGCCGAGCCCGAAGCUGGCAACAGGGCCAACGCCCUCCAUCCCCGCCCCUCUUCGCCGCGACGGUCACGGGUCACCGACGUUCCUCCCUUCUCAGCCGGUAGCUCGCCACCGCACCCCAAGAGGAGGCAGAAGCCUACGCCGCCGCCGACAAGGGCUUCCUCAGCGCCCCCGAUCAACUUCCUCUUCUGCACGGAGGAAAAGCUCAACCUCCUACAGCUAGCCAGGCAGGACCUGCUGGAGCUGAGCGGUCCCACUAAGUCCAAAGUUCUACACAAGUUGCUUAUCAAGGAACAAAAGCAAGCACACGGGGUGUAUGGUGCCAUCUGUUACUCUCCAGUCUCCACUGAUCUUGCAAAGGCAAGGUUUGCCUCAGGAUGAAGGACCAAAAUAGCUCAUCCUGCCAUAGCCAAUCAGCUCGCAUGCCCAGUUAUUGACCGAUCAAAAGCUGUGGCUGGCAGAAAUUUGAUUACCGGUACCACACUAUGGUGAACAAGGAUAGAUUUCUCAAGGCAGGGCCACAGAGAGUGUAGAGCUUGUUGUCAUCAUGAGGACGCAAAAGACUUCGCCAUAGCUUCUCCGUCCGGACACUGGAUUUUGCCAUGGCGAGGUUUCUACCUUCUUGUGAGUGCUUUGUUAUAUGAUCGGGCUUAAGACCCCUUUUGCGACACUCAUGGAUAAGGCAAAGUACGACAAUGCUCCCAUUCUAUGCUUUCAGAUGUUUUCAUACUGGUUCAUGUUUUUGAU